rnacentral:rRNA from 1 species
GUAUUAGGCAAAUCCGGUACUCGUUAAGGCUGAGCUGUGAUGGGGAGAAGACAUUGUGUCUUCGAGUCGUUGAUUUCACACUGCCGAGAAAAGCCUCUAGAUAGAAAAUAGGUGCCCGUACCGCAAACCGACACAGGUAGUCAAGAUGAGAAUUCUAAGGUGAGCGAGCGAACUCUCGUUAAGGAACUCGGCAAAAUGACCCCGUAACUUCGGGAGAAGGGGUGCUCUUUAGGGUUAACGCCCAGAAGAGCCGCAGUGAAUAGGCCCAAGCGACUGUUUAUCAAAAACACAGGUCUCUGCUAAACCGUAAGGUGAUGUAUAGGGGCUGACGCCUGCCCGGUGCUGGAAGGUUAAGAGGAGUGGUUAGCUUCUGCGAAGCUACGAAUCGAAGCCCCAGUAAACGGCGGCCGUAACUAUAACGGUCCUAAGGUAGCGAAAUUCCUUGUCGGGUAAGUUCCGACCCGCACGAAAGGCGUAACGAUUUGGGCACUGUCUCAACGAGAGACUCGGUGAAAUCAUAGUACCUGUGAAGAUGCAGGUUACCCGCGACAGGACGGAAAGACCCCGUGGAGCUUUACUGUAGCCUGAUAUUGAAAUUCGGCACAGCUUGUACAGGAUAGGUAGGAGCCUUUGAAACGUGAGCGCUAGCUUACGUGGAGGCGCUGGUGGGAUACUACCCUAGCUGUGUUGGCUUUCUAAC